rnacentral:rRNA from 1 species
AGUGAACGCUGGCGGCGUGCUUAACACAUGCAAGUCGAACGAGAACGGGAUAUAGCUUGCUAUAUUUGUCAGCUAAGUGGCGCACGGGUGAGUAAUGUAUAGAUAACCUGCCCUCUAGAAAGGAAUAACAGUUGGAAACGACUGCUAAUGCCCUAUAUGCCUUUAAUACAUAAGUAUGCAAGGGAAACGCUUUAGCGCUAGAGGAUGGGUCUGUAUGGUAUCAGCUUGUUGGUGAGGUAAUGGCUCACCAAGGCUAUGACGCCUAACUAGUUUGAGAGGAUGAUCAGUCACACUGGAACUGAGACACGGUCCAGACUCCUACGGGAGGCAGCAGUGGGGAAUAUUGCACAAUGGACGAAAGUCUGAUGCAGCAACGCCGCGUGGAGGAUGACACAUUUCGGUGCGUAAACUCCUUUUAUAUAGGAAGAUAAUGACGGUACUAUAUGAAUAAGCACCGGCUAACUCCGUGCCAGCAGCCGCCGUAAUAC